ensembl:snoRNA SNORD15 Small nucleolar RNA SNORD15
CUUCGGUGACGAUACGAUGACGAGUCAGACGGUGGUGUCCUCGCAUCAGCGCGGCCUGCUCGGUGCCACGUUCUGUGGUGCUGUGCCGAGGCCGCCUUGGGCAGGACGUCCUGCGCUCUGGAUGAUUUAGAGGCAUUUGUCUGAGAAGG